CAGUCUCGAUAUCUUGUCUCCCUCAGAAAUAAUCAUUGUUCAGGUUCUUUGGACAUUUCCCCGCUUCCAUCUGCCUCCGCUUUUUAUCCAUUGAAGCCCGUACUCUCAAUGGUGGGCACUGAAUUUGGGAGGCAAGGGAUUGUUUGUUGUUGUUGUGAUUUACAGCUUCCGGGGGACUCAACAAAGUUUUUAGAAACAGUAUUUUUGGAACUUGACUAGGUUUCGAAACUGAAAUUCCUGAGAUAUGCUCACCGUGCCAAAGAUGCCGUUGGAUUUGUGACCCCUUGGGCCCAAGUUAAAUGGAUGUAGUGAG
rnacentral:sRNA from 1 species